GAUGAACGCUGGCGGCGUGCCUAAUACAUGCAAGUCGAGCGAACAGACGAGGAGCUUGCUCCUCUGACGUUAGCGGCGGACGGGUGAGUAACACGUGGAUAACCUACCUAUAAGACUGGGAUAACUUCGGGAAACCGGAGCUAAUACCGGAUAAUAUAUUGAACCGCAUGGUUCAAUAGUGAAAGACGGUUUUGCUGUCACUUAUAGAUGGAUCCGCGCCGCAUUAGCUAGUUGGUAAGGUAACGGCUUACCAAGGCAACGAUGCGUAGCCGACCUGAGAGGGUGAUCGGCCACACUGGAACUGAGACACGGUCCAGACUCCUACGGGAGGCAGCAGUAGGGAAUCUUGCGCAAUGGGCGAAAGCUUGACGGAGCAACGCCGCGGGAGUGAUGAAGGUCUUCGGAUCGUAAAACUCUGUUAUUAGGGAAGAACAAAUGUGUAAGUAACUAUGCACGUCUUGACGGUACCUAAUCAGAAAGCCACGGCUACUACGUG
rnacentral:rRNA from 1 species